AUGGCUCCCACAAAGAAGGGUGGCAAGAAGAAAAAGGGCCGUUCUGCCAUCAACGAAGUGGUGACCCGAGAAUACACCAUCAAUAUUCACAAGCACAUCCAUGGAGUGGGCUUCAAGAAGCGUGCCCCUGGGCACUCAAAGAGAUUCAGGAAUUUGCCAUGAAGGAGACGGGAACUCCAGAUGUGUGCAUUGAUACCAGGCUCAACAAAGCUGUCUGGGCCAAAGGAAUAAGGAAUGUCCCAUACUGAAUCCGUGUGUGGCUGUCCAGAAAACGUAAGCUAUAUACUUUGGUUACCUAUGUACCUGUUACCACUUUCAGAAAUCUACACACAGUCAAUUUGGAUGAGAACUAA
rnacentral:lncRNA from 1 species